rnacentral:rRNA from 1 species
AGAGUUGAUUAUGGCUCAGGAUGAACGCUAGCGACAGGACUUAACACAUGCAAGUCGGAGGGGCAGCAAUAAAAGUAGCAAUACGUUGGUGGCGGACCGGCGCACGGGUGAGUAACGCGUAUGCAACCUACCUAUCAGAGGGGAAUAACCCGGACGAAAGUCGGACUAAUACCGCAUAAAACAGGGGCACCGCAUGGUGAUAUUUGUUAAAGAAAUUCGCUGAUAGAUGGGCAUGCGUUCCAUUAGGUAGUUGGUGAGGUAACGGCUCACCAAGCCGACGAUGGAUAGGGGAACUGAGAGGUUGGUCCCCCACACUGGUACUGAGACACGGACCAGACUCCUACGGGAGGCAGCAGUGAGGAAUAUUGGUCAAUGGGCGGGAGCCUGAACCAGCCAAGUCGCGUGAAGGGAAAAGGAAGGAUCUAUGGUUCGUAAUCUUCUUUUGCAGGGGAAUAAAGUGCAGGACGUGUCCUGUUUUGUAUGUACCCUGAGAAUAAGGAUCGGCUAACUCCGUGCCAGCCGCUGC